AGUUCGGAUCGCAGGCUGCAACCCGCCUGCGUGAAGUCGGAAUCGCUAGUAAUCGCGGAUCAGCAUGCCGCGGUGAAUACGUUCCCGGGCCUUGUACACACCGCCCGUCACACCAUGAGAGUCGGGAACACCCGAAGCCCGUAGCCUAACUUGCAAGAGAGGGCGCGGUCGAAGGUGGGUUCGAUAAUUGGGGUGAAGUCGUAACAAGGUAAC
rnacentral:rRNA from 1 species